rnacentral:lncRNA from 1 species
ACAGACAUGAGCUAGUUCUGGAGAAAGGAUGACGUACUCAGGAACAUGCCUCCCAGUCAUUCACUCAGCCGGUCUGGCGGUGUGCAUUGAGAGGUGGCGGUCCCUACUUGGCUCAGAGCAGUCUCAGCUGACCUUUGACUCACCGUGUGAACCUCCAGCUUGACCCCUAGGCAUGCUGGGAUCCUGGAAUACCAAGCGAAGUUCAGAUACCAGCAUUUUCCAUCUGGCUCAUCUCAGGC